GACAGCAUGGCAUAGUGGUCUGAGUGUUAGACUGAGACUCUAGACACCAGGGUUCACAUCCCAGCUUGGCCA